rnacentral:rRNA from 1 species
CUUGAAUAAUAUGGAAGUAACUAGAAUAUGUAGAUGUAGCGGUGAAAUGCUUAGAUAUUACAUGGAAUACCAAUUAGCGAAGGCAGGUUACUACGUAUUUAUUGACGCUGAUGAACGAAAGCGUGGGGAGCGAACAGGAUUAGAUACCCUGGUAGUCCACGCCGUAAACGAUGGAUACUAGCUGUUCGGUUUUCGGACUGAGUGGCUAAGCGAAAGUGAUAAGUAUCCCACCUGGGGAGUACGUNCGCAAGAAUGAAACUCA